rnacentral:rRNA from 1 species
AUUGAACGCUGGCGGCAGGCUUAACACAUGCAAGUCGAGCGGGGUGAUGGUGCUUGCACUAUCACUUAGCGGCGGACGGGUGAGUAAUGCUUAGGAAUCUGCCUAUUAGUGGGGGACAACAUCUCGAAAGGGAUGCUAAUACCGCAUACGUCCUACGGGAGAAAGCAGGGGAUCACUUGUGACCUUGCGCUAAUAGAUGAGCCUAAGUCGGAUUAGCUGGUUGGUAGGGUAAAGGCCUACCAAGGCGACGAUCUGUAGCGGGUCUGAGAGGAUGAUCCGCCACACUGGGACUGAGGCACGGCCCAGACUCCUACGGGAGGCAGCAGUGGGGAAUAUUGGACAAUGGGGGGAACCCUGAUCCAGCCAUGCCGCGUGUGUGAAGAAGGCCUUAUGGUUGUAAAGCACUUUAAGCGAGGAGGAGGCUCUUUUGGUUAAUACCCAAGAUGAGUGGACGUUACUCGCAGAAUAAGCACCGGCUAACUCUGUGCCAGCAGCCGCGGUAA